GAUGAACGCUGGCGGCGUGCCUAAUACAUGCAAGUCGAGCGAACAGACGAGGAGCUUGCUCCUCUGACGUUAGCGGCGGACGGGUGAGUAACACGUGGAUAACCUACCUAUAAGACUGGGAUAACUUCGGGAAACCGGAGCUAAUACCGGAUAAUAUAUUGAACCGCAUGGUUCAAUAGUGAAAUACGGUUUUGCUGUCACUUAUAGAUGGAUCCGCGCCGCAUUAGCUAGUUGGUAAGGUAACGGCUUACCAAGGCAACGAUGCGUAGCCGACCUGAGAGGGUGAUCGGCCACACUGGAACUGAGACACGGUCCAGACUCCUACGGGAGGCAGCAGUAGGGAAUCUGACGCAAUGGGCGAAAGCCUGACGGAGCAACGCCGCGUGAGUGAUGAAGGUCUUCGGAUCGUAAAACUCUGUUAUUAGGGAAGAACAAAUGUGUAAGUAACUAUGCACGUCUUGACGGUACCUAAUCAGAAAGCCACGGCUAACUACGUG
rnacentral:rRNA from 1 species